rnacentral:rRNA from 1 species
CACGGGUGCGUAACACGUGAAGAACGUAGCCAUCGGCGGGGGAUAGCCGGCCCAACGGCCGGGUAAUACCGCGUACGACCUCUGGGUGGCAUCAUCUGGAGGUGAAAGCAGCAAUGCACCGAUGGGGCGCUUCGCGGCCUAUCAGCUAGUUGGUGAGGUCACGGCUCACCAAGGCUACGACGGGUAGCUGGUCCGAGAGGAUGACCAGCCACAUUGGGACUGAGACACGGCCCAGACUCCUACAGGAGGCAGCAGUGGGGAAUAUUGCGCAAUGGGGGAAACCCUGACGCAGCGACGCCGCGUGUGGGAUGAAGGUCUUCGGAUUGUAAACCACUGUCGCGAGGGACGAAAAUCUGACGGUACCUCGAAAGGAAGCACCGGCUAACUCUGUGCCAGCAGCCGCGGUAAUACAGAGGGUGCGAGCGUUGUCCGGAAUCACUGGGCGUAAAGGGCGCGUAGGCGGCCUGGUAAGUAGGGGGUGAAAUCUCACGGCUCAACUGUGAGGCUGCCUUCUAGACUGCUAGGCUCGAGCACAGUAGAGGCGAGUGGAAUUCCCGGUGUAGCGGUGGAAUGCGUAGAGAUCGGGAAGAACAUCGGUGGCGAAGGCGGCUCGCUGGGCUGUUGCUGACGCUGAUGCGCGAAAGCGUGGGGAGCAAACAGGAUUAGAUACCCUGGUAGUCCACGCUGUAAACGAUGGGUGCUAGGCGUCGGGGGGAGCGACCCCUUCGGUGCCGUCGCUAACGCAAUAAGCACCCCGCCUGGGGAGUACGGUCGCAAGACUGAAACUCAAAGGAAUUGACGGGGGUCCGCACAAGCGGUG